rnacentral:lncRNA from 1 species
UGAUUGUAAGAAAAGAGUCGUAUUUGAAAAUGCAAGACUCUUUAGUGGAGGUCAAGCAAGUCAAUAUAGGCAGAAUACUCUGCAAAAUUAUGCGAGUGAGGGGAUGUAAAACAAUUGGUCAGGAAAUGCGUUGUUUUUCUGCAAAACAAAAGCUGAUUGCCAUUACAUAAGUCACUUUAGCAUCAUGAGACUGCUGCUUGAUAAAUUCAGAUAUAAACCAAAAAACAAGACAUGCAAAAAUAAAAAAACAAUUUAAUGAUGCUGCCUCCACACUGGGAUAAAUAAAAACAAACACUUCUAAUGUGGACAUAUCAGACGCCUUGUGAAACACUAAAGAAAAAAAUUAAGUUUCGAGCUAUGGCACUUGCCGCAUAGAUGUGGGGAGCCUAGCACUAAUAGUGAUAGUUACCACUGCAUUUAGAAAUUGAAAGCAUUCAUGCAGACAAGGAUGAUUCUUUAUAUUUUUGGCUACCACUUCAAAUGCCUCCACCAAGUGUUACAUGCUGCACGCAGCCAUACUAAAGAUCUCGCAGCAACACCUGCAGAUAAGAAGCAGAAGCAGUCAAAGUGCUGGUGUGUACUGGACACUAUGUUUGAAAACUUUUAGGCAAGAAGAGUGCAAGAAGCAGACAUAACAACUGCAUUUAUUUCCGUAAUUCCCCAUUUGAAUGGCCUUUUCUUUUUGCUUAGACAAUGCCUACGCCUAGCCACAGCAGCUCCCUCAUACAGACUCCGCAAGCCAAGAGGCCAUGGAGGCAAAUGCAGGCAGCCAGCACACCUCGAACAGCCACCUUGACUGUGGGUGUGUCAGUAGAUUCCUGUUGUACAUAUGCUCAUAAUAAACUUCAGUAAACUUGAA